UACGAAGGGGGGCUAGCGUUGCUCGGAAUCACUGGGCGUAAAGCGCACGUAGGCGGCUUUCUAAGUCAGGGGGUGAAAUCCUGGAGCUCAACUCCAGAACUGCCUUUGAUACUGGAGAGCUUGAGUCCGGAAGAGGUGAGUGGAACUCCGAGUGUAGAGGUGAAAUUCGUAGAUAUUCGGAAGAACACCAGUGGCGAAGGCGGCUCACUGGUCCGGUACUGACGCUGAGGAGCGAAAGCGUGGGGAGCGAACAGG
rnacentral:rRNA from 1 species